rnacentral:sRNA from 1 species
GGAUAAAAUCAUUUUCACAAAAGAUCCUACACUGCUUAAUGGAAACCUACUGAUUGAUGACCGAGUUAGCAUCAAAGGUGUUAUCAAAAAUCCGACCUGGGAGCAUGUAGUCUUCACAUCUUGCCACAACGUUAGGAUCAGUGUUGGCACAAAGACGAGGCUGGAGAACUGGACUGAUGGGGCAUGGAGACAAAUCAUUCGGAAGGCACGGCAUGAUAUUUAAAACAGUCAAGACGGGAACAAAAAAUCGCCAGUACCGUGUAAAAAUAUUAUGUCUGCGGAUUUGAUCGCAAACGAAUGUUUGACAUAAUCUGAUACUUCAAAAACUUUUUGUUUCCUGCAUUUUAGGUUUAUAAUAUAAGUGGAUAAAUUU